rnacentral:misc_RNA from 1 species
AAGUCGUAACAAGGUUUCCGUAGGUGAACCUGCGGAAGGAUCAUUACCAUAUCCAAAAUUAUAUCAACCCACUGUGUGAACUGUUUUCUCGAGGAAGGCUAGAAAAAAAAAGGUGAAUAACUGUUUUUUUCUGGUUUCCUUUUGGAAAUUUAAAAUGUGUCUUUUGGGGUGACGGCUUUGGUUUUUUCCAAAGCUUUUAGCCCCACUAGCCAUUUUAUCCAGAAGGGACGUUUUUCGCUUUCUAGCUUUUCUAAUACAAAACAAAAACACCUUGUCAAACCAUACAAGCUUUUUCUUUUGGAAAAAGUGAUUACUAAUUUUUUGAUUUUUUGUGGCAACACAAGAAACCAACAAACAAAACAAAACCAAUAGACAACUUACAACGGUGGAUCUCUUGGCUCGU